UGCGUAGGCGGUUUUGCAAGUCAGAAGUGAAAGGCUACGGCUCAACCGUAGUAAGCUUUUGAAACUGCAAGACUAGAGUGCAGGAGAGGAAAGUGGAAUUCCUAGUGUAGAGGUGAAAUUCGUAGAUAUUAGGAGGAACACCAGUGGCGAAGGCGACUUUCUGGACUGUAACUGACGCUGAUGCACGAAAGCGUGGGGAGCGAACA
rnacentral:rRNA from 1 species